rnacentral:tRNA from 1 species
GUAAAUAUAGUUUAAACAAAACAUUAGAUUGUGAUUCUAAGAAUAGGGGUUGAACCCCCCUUAUUCACC